rnacentral:rRNA from 1 species
UACGAAGGGUGCAAGCGUUACUCGGAAUUACUGGGCGUAAAGCGUGCGUAGGUGGUUUGUUAAGUCUGAUGUGAAAGCCCUGGGCUCAACCUGGGAAUUGCAUUGGAUACUGGCAGGCUAGAGUGCGGUAGAGGAUGGCGGAAUUCCCGGUGUAGCAGUGAAAUGCGUAGAGAUCGGGAGGAACAUCUGUGGCGAAGGCGGGUCUCUGGACAGUUCCUGACACUGAGGCACGAAGGCCAGGGAGCAACGGG